CCCAGAGCGUGUGCUUUGAGUUGUAGUCUCCCGCUGCGAUGUACUUGUCCCCUAGGCAGAACACUGGAAAAAUACAUUAGAAAUAAUAACCUCAAUAUAUUGUGCACAGGAACACCGACACAUUGGCCGACUGACCUGAACAAAAAAACCAGAUCUUCUGGACUUUGCAGUUACAAGGGGACUAAACACAAAUAAACUAAAAAUAACACCCAACCUCGAGCUUAGCUCCGAUCAUACACCCAUAAUAAUUGAAUACAUAAACAAACCAAUACCUUAU
rnacentral:misc_RNA from 1 species